GACGAACGCUGGCGGCGUGCUUAACACAUGCAAGUCGAACGGAAAGGCCCCUUUGGUGGUACUCGAGUGGCGAACGGGUGAGUAACACGUGAGUAACCUGCCCUUGACUUCGGGAUAACUUCAGGAAACUGGGGCUAAUACCGGAUAGGAAUCCUUGCUGCAUGGGGGGGGUUGGAAAGCUUCGGCGGUUUUGGAUGUACUCGCGGCUUAUCAGCUUGUUGGUGGGGUAGUGGCUUACCAAGGCUUUGACGGGUAGCCGGCCUGAGAGGGCGACCGGCCACAGUGGGACUGAGAUACGGCCCAGACGCCGACGGGAGGCAGCAGUGGGGAAGAUUGCACAAUGGGCGGAAGCCUGAUGCAGCAACGCCGCGUGCGGGAGGACGGCCUUCGGGUUGUAAACCGCUUUCAGCAGGGGCGAAGCUUGUGGUGACGGUACCUGCAGAAGAAGCACCGGCUAACUACGUG
rnacentral:rRNA from 1 species